UACACCACUGUCCUGAGGCUACAUAAGUUCCAUUCUCCAGCACUCCUCUGUUGAACUACCAUGAUCUGUGAAAUAUGACCAGAAGGAAGGUUAUUAAAUUCCUCCGCUGAUAGAAGCAUCCACACACACAAACAGCAACAAUUCUCCUCUUAAUGGACUUCGGUCUUCAUUUCAGAUUUUCCAGUGUAAUCAAGUCACUUCGUAUCACUGAGUUAUAGGAAGCAGAAUUGCUAAUAAAGAAUUGGAGAGGAAGAGGGGAGGUGUGGAG
rnacentral:lncRNA from 13 species